UUCAUAUUAAAAAAAUAGCUGGUAAAUCUUUCUAGGUAGUAACUUAUCCAAACAAUACUUUGAGUAUCAUAUUUUGUGAAUGACUUGCUUAAACUGGGAAACUGAAUAUUCUUUUUAAAUCAUAUAAUUCCUGUAUUAAAUGUGAAACACACAGUCUCCAAAGUCACCUGAUUCUCUGUGGAAAAUGAAAGGCAUUGAAGGAAACCAGAUACAUUAAUACUUAGUUUUGGUUGAAAGUGCAACAUUACUGUACUUAGAAGGGGCUUGGUUUAUUUUUAGAUAUUUAAGCUAUCAUUAAUUUUAGACCAAUGGCUAAUAAUAAGAGAGAUUUUUGGUUGCUCAUUUAUGGAGAGACAAAGAACAGCAUGGCAUAAACAAACAUCCCAGAAAUAAAUGAAAAGUUUUAAGUGAUAAAAUUGUGUUUUCUAUGAACCAGUGUUGUACAUGAACCAACAUUGUGUUUCUUAGCUCUGACCUGUACAGUGAGGUACCUGUCAGGACCCCUAGUCUUGGCACUGGAAAUGACAAAGUUCUCCUAUUACUAAAUUCUCAUGCCUUCCUUUUCUGACUUAGUAGAUUGAAAUUGGUAGGUACUAAUGAUUUAUGUUUGAUAAACUUAAGUUCUGCUGAUAUCCUGUUACUGGUAAUUCUGGUACCAAAAUUUCAAACGGUUUGAUUAUUAGUAGCAUUUUGAGUACCUAGGUGCAUAUAAUACAGUUAGCAGACCCUUACAGAGUCAAAAGAGAUUUUGGAAUCUGGUGAUACUGUUGUUUAUUACACUAGCCUAUUACAUUUUCUUUCUUUAUAAUAACUGUUUAUGUGAGUUUCAUUGAAAAUCGUGGCUCUAUUGCUUUAUUCAUGGUUUCCACAACUCUUUUUGUAACACCUUAAUUUUCUCUCUUAGGUAUUUUCCUGUUAAAUAAGAUAUCAAAAGCAUCAAUCACAAGACAGAGAAAACGUAUUAGGAAAAACUUGUAUUAGUAUAUUCUAAACUGAAAUGGAAAAACUCAUUAUUCAUAUUUUAAUAAAUAAAACUCCCAAAUGAUCUUGCUAAAUUAUCCCACUAUUUAGAAGUAGAAAAUAAGAGAAGAGUGCUUUCAAGGAAAUUUGUCAUAUUCUCCCUUCUAUCUAGAAGUUGACAAUGAAUUGCAAUAAAACUAAGAAAUAACUGAAUGCUGAAAAAUACCAUGAAUUAAUGUUAUGGCUUCUUUAUUUUUGUAUAUCCAUUCCCACAAAAUUGAAUUUAAGAUUAUUAAUGAAAAUUCUAUAUUAAGUAAUAAUGCUUGUAUUAGUAAUGGGUAAAGAAGUCUUUCUUUGUUACAUUAACCGUUAGUAAAAGAUGUACUUUGACAUUUCUGAUGUAAAACCUAUAUGUAAAUAUUGUAAUUUAAAUAUGAUUGGACAGCUGUUAAGUUUUGGGGAGGGAAGCAGAUGCCAGCGUUCUCUGCUGAAAAGACAAGAUGGCGCUUGACGGACCACAGCAGAUGGAGCUGGAGGAGGAAAAGGCAGGCAGUGGACUCUGCCAGUAUUAUCUGUCCAAGAUUGAAGAACUCCAGGGUCAACUGCAAUAUAAAUUGGAUGGGGGAAAGCCACAAGGAACAGUUCUGAACUCCAGGUGCAUUUGCAGCUGAUUUUGAAUGAUAAGACCCAAAACCUCUGGAGGCGGCAGGUGCACGGGAAUGAACUAAAUGUUAAAGUGUGCCUAUUACAGGAGGAGCUACAGCUGCUGCAGGAAUAGGACUCCUGUGUCAGGGAAGUAGUCCAGGCCAUGGGUAAGAAGAAAGUGUUGGUCAAGGUGCAUCUCAAGGACAAGUUUGUCAUAGAUGUGGACAAAAAUAUCAGCAUCAGUGAUGUGACACCCAGUUCCUUGGUGGUUCUAAGAAAUGACAGCUACACUUUGCACAAGAUCCUACCCAACAAGGUGGACUCAUUGGUGUCACUGAUGAUGGUGAAGAAAGUACCAGAUUCAGCUUAUGAAAUGAUUGGUAGACUGGAUAGGCAGAUCAAGAAGAUCAAAGAAGUGAUCGACCUGCCUGCUAAGCAUCCCGAGCUCUUCAAAGCACUGGGCAUUGCACAGCCCAAGGGAAUGCUGCUUGGAAGAGACUGUUGGCCUGGGCUCUGGCUCAUCAUAGGGACUGUGUACCUUUAUUCAUGUCUCUGGCUCUGAAUUGGUACAGAAAUUCAUUGGGGAAUUUCUGUGAUGGCAGAGAAAAUGCUCAUCUGUCAUCUUCAUGGAUGAAAUUGACUCUUUUGGCUCCUCAGAGCUGGAGGGGGAUGCUGGAGGGAACAGUGAAGUGCAGCAGAUGAUGCUUCGAGGGUGGCUUUGAGGCCACCAAGAGUAUCACGGUUUAUCACGGCUGCUAAUACGAUUGAUAUCCUGGACUCGGCACUGCUUUGCCCAGGGCACAUUGACAGAAAAAUUGAAUUCCCAACCUGCAAUGAGUAGGCCUGGCUGGUCACUUUGAAGAUUCAUUCUCAGAAAUGAACCUGACCCAGGGGAUCAACCUGAGAAAAAUUGCUGAGCUUAUGCCAGGAGCAUCAGGCUGAAGUGAAGGGCAUGUGCACAGAAACCGGCAUGUAUGCCCUGAGUAGCGAGUCCAUGUCACUCAGAAGGACUUUGAGGUAGUCCAAAGUCCUAUCUCAUGCCAAAGGACAGUGAGGAAAAACAUGUCCAUCAAGAAACUAUGGAAUUGAGGGCACAUCCUUUGUGUGUAUCCCUACAAUAAAACUCAGUGGGACAAGCAAAAAAAAAAAAAAAAA